rnacentral:rRNA from 1 species
CACGUAGGGUGCGAGCGUUGUCCGGAAUUAUUGGGCGUAAAGAGCUCGUAGGCGGUGUGUCGCGUCGGCCGUGAAAACCUGCAGCUUAACUGUGGGCGUGCGGUCGAUACGGGCAUCACUGGAGUUCGGCAGGGGAGACUGGAAUUCCUGGUGUAGCGGUGAAAUGCGCAGAUAUCAGGAGGAACACCGGUGGCGAAGGCGGGUCUCUGGGUCGAUACUGACGCUGAGGAGCGAAAGCGUGGGGAGCGAACAGG